GGAUAUGAGGGUGAUCUGGCUGUGACAUCUGUCACCCUGUUGAUUGCCAGGGUUGAUUCGGCUGAUCUGGCUGGCUAAGCAGAGGUUCUCUUCCUCCAUCAUCGCUCGAUGGGCAUCCCUCCCAAAGCUGCACACUGGGUCGAAGAGACGAUCUUCCGCAAUAGAUGAGGACCCUUCUUUGGUCAAGGGUGCACACGUAGCGGUGCUCCUCUGCUAGAAUCUCCUAACAAGUUCUCUCUCUCAUGGCACUUACUUUGUGCUGGGCGUUGUUCUAAAUCCUUUGCGUAUAUUUACUCAUUUAAUCCUCACAACAUCUCUGUGAAGUCGAU
rfam:Equus caballus chromosome 3, whole genome shotgun sequence.